CAAUUGAUUGAUGGUGCUUGCACCUGAUUGAUUUUGGUCGCCAACGAGUGGCGGACGGGUGAGUAACACGUAGGUAACCUGCCCAGAAGCGGGGGACAACAUUUGGAAACAGAUGCUAAUACCGCAUAACAGCGUUGUUCGCAUGAACAACGCUUAAAAGAUGGCUUCUCGCUAUCACUUCUGGAUGGACCUGCGGUGCAUUAGCUUGUUGGUGGGGUAACGGCCUACCAAGGCGAUGAUGCAUAGCCGAGUUGAGAGACUGAUCGGCCACAAUGGGACUGAGACACGGCCCAUACUCCUACGGGAGGCAGCAGUAGGGAAUCUUCCACAAUGGGCGCAAGCCUGAUGGAGCAACACCGCGUGAGUGAAGAAGGGUUUCGGCUCGUAAAGCUCUGUUGUUAAAGAAGAACACGUAUGAGAGUAACUGUUCAUACGUUGACGGUAUUUAACCAGAAAGUCACGGCUAACUACGUGCCAGCAGCCGCGGUAAUACGUAGGUGGCAAGCGUUAUCCGGAUUUAUUGGGCGUAAAGAGAGUGCAGGCGGUUUUCUAAGUCUGAUGUGAAAGCCUUCGGCUUAACCGGAGAAGUGCAUCGGAAACUGGAUAACUUGAGUGCAGAAGAGGGUAGUGGAACUCCAUGUGUAGCGGUGGAAUGCGUAGAUAUAUGGAAGAACACCAGUGGCGAAGGCGGCUACCUGGUCUGCAACUGACGCUGAGACUCGAAAGCAUGGGUAGCGAACAGGAUUAGAUACCCUGGUAGUCCAUGCCGUAAACGAUGAGUGCUAGGUGUUGGAGGGUUUCCGCCCUUCAGUGCCGGAGCUAACGCAUUAAGCACUCCGCCUGGGGAGUACGACCGCAAGGUUGAAACUCAAAGGAAUUGACGGGGGCCCGCACAAGCGGUGGAGCAUGUGGUUUAAUUCGAAGCUACGCGAAGAACCUUACCAGGUCUUGACAUCUUGCGCCAACCCUAGAGAUAGGGCGUUUCCUUCGGGAACGCAAUGACAGGUGGUGCAUGGUCGUCGUCAGCUCGUGUCGUGAGAUGUUGGGUUAAGUCCCGCAACGAGCGCAACCCUUGUUACUAGUUGCCAGCAUUAAGUUGGGCACUCUAGUGAGACUGCCGGUGACAAACCGGAGGAAGGUGGGGACGACGUCAGAUCAUCAUGCCCCUUAUGACCUGGGCUACACACGUGCUACAAUGGACGGUACAACGAGUCGCGAACUCGCGAGGGCAAGCAAAUCUCUUAAAACCGUUCUCAGUUCGGACUGCAGGCUGCAACUCGCCUGCACGAAGUCGGAAUCGCUAGUAAUCGCGGAUCAGCAUGCCGCGGUGAAUACGUUCCCGGGCCUUGUACACACCGCCCGUCACACCAUGAGAGUUUGUAACACCCAAAGUCGGUGGGGUAACCU
rnacentral:rRNA from 2 species